CUAUGAGAAGGGCAUAACCGUGACGUUUUCCGAAAAUUGUCGCCAGCAUGCGAUGCCGUGCACGCUUCACACAUGGCAUACGACAGGCGUGCAGCGUCGGAAAUCUACGGCGGCUUAUCGAUGUUGCGACUGCAUUCGAACUCCGUGUAAGAUUUGCCCCGCGCGAUGACGACUAAAAGGUACAAGUCUUGUUAAGAGUAUCACAGCUAGAAGAUUAUCCUUGGAAGAGCGUUUCCCGAUCGUGGCGGCUGCAUAAUUAAUCGAAUAAUAUGCAAAUUUCUUUGCGAAGUAGACUCCUGGCCAUUCAAGGAAACAACUUCAGCUACGAUUUAUAUUAUAAUAGAUGUACCUAUAUUUUCUUAUCAUUGAUAUAAUUUAGCCAAAGCUUAUAGUUAUAACAAAGAAGAA
rnacentral:lncRNA from 13 species